rnacentral:rRNA from 1 species
GACGAACGCUGGCGGCGUGCUUAACACAUGCCAGUCGAACGAUGAACCCGGAGCUUGCCCCGGUGGAUUAGUGGCGAACGGGUGAGUAACACGUGCGAAACCUGCCCUUGACUCUGGGAUAACUGCGUGAAACUGUAGCUAAUACCGGAUACGACUCUCCGCAGCAUCGCCAGGGGGAGGAAAGAAGUUCAGACAAGGAUGGACUCGCGGCCUAUCAGCUAGAUGGUGAGGUAACGGAUCACCAAGGCGACGAGGGGUAGCCAGCCUGAGAGGGUGGCCGGCCACAAUGGGACUGAGACACGGCCCAGACUCCUACGGGAGGCAGCAGUGGGGAAUAUUGCACAAUGGGCGCAAGCCUGAUGCAGCGACGCCGCGUGAGGGAUGACGGCCUUAGGGUUGUAAACCUCUUUCAGCACCGACGAAGCGCAAGUGACGGUAGGUGCAGAAGAAGGACCGGCCAACUACGUGCCAGCAGCCGCAGUAA